rnacentral:sRNA from 1 species
UGAAAGAACUCCAUUAAAGGUGAUGGAUUUGACAGAACUUGGUUCACUGUUUGGCAUUUGCUGAUCAAAUGGGUAAAGCUGCUUGCUUC